UGGGGAAUCUUCCGCAAUGGACGAAAGUCUGACGGAGCAACGCCGCGUGAGUGAAGACGGCCUUCGGGUUGUAAAGCUCUGUGAUUCGGGACGAAAGGCCAUAUGUGAAUAAUAUAUGGAAAUGACGGUACCGAAAAAGCAAGCCACGGCUAACUACGUGCCAGCAGCCGCGGUAAUACGUAGGUGGCAAGCGUUGUCCGGAAUUAUUGGGCGUAAAGCGCGCGCAGGCGGUCACUUAAGUCCAUCUUAGAAGUGCGGGGCUUAACCCCGUGAUGGGAUGGAAACUGAUAGACUUGAGUGAAGGAGAGGAAAGUGGAAUUCCUAGUGUAGCGGUGAAAUGCGUAGAUAUUAGGAGGAAUACCGGUGGCGAAGGCGACUUUCUGGACUUUUACUGACGCUCAGGUACGAAAGCGUGGGGAGCAAACAGG
rnacentral:rRNA from 1 species